UGGUGGCCAGGGCCCUUUUCUUGUUGCCCUGCUGAGCCAGCGAGGGGGCAGUGCAAUGUUAAAAGGGCAUUGGCCGCCA
rnacentral:pre_miRNA from 1 species